GACGGGACCGGCAGACAUGGGGCGAUAGGGCAAUUGUUGCGCUGGCCUAUAUAUACAAACGCAUGUGCGUAUGUAUGUAUGUAGGUCACCACAUGGCAGAAUGCAGGCGAGCCCAGCAUUCAUACAGUUGAGAAAAAUCAAAAAAUACAAAAGAUGUGAAGUUUUCAAGGAAUACGCAAUCCAAAAGGAGCAAGCAAUAGAGAGAAUGGAAUAGAAGGAAAGAAUACAUUUCGUUGUUGAAAUAUAUAUUUUAUUUUUGUGUUUUGCGUUUCGUUUUCAUUAAUUGCUGUACCGAUUUUUCAUGUCCGACACUGUCAUGCCCAGCCCGGAGUCUGACGAUGGACUGCGUCCGGUGGCCGCGCUUACUUCCAUGUCAACAUCGGUUACCUGUAGAUAUGUAAGGCAAUUCAAGUAGUGUAUGUACAAAAGCAUAUACGAAACUGAGUGGAGGCUGUCAGUGCCCCGACCUAAUUGCCCGCAUACAUAUGUAUGUAUGUAAUCUGUAUAUAAAUACGUUUGUAUUUUGCGGCAAUAAAUCUCUACAGAAAGUAGGAGAGUGUGCAGAAGAAAGCGGACAGCGUUUUUGGGGUGUACACAGUGUGUAUGCUUAAAACAUAAUGUGACCGGUGCAUUUGGUUGGGUUACUCAAAGUUUUCGUGGUGUUAUUGAGGGCAUAAAUUUCGUAUACGUAAAUUAUGUUAUGCUGGUGAAUUGCUGGUGCAGGGGAAUGCAUUUUUAUUUGCCAAUUUUUAUAUUUGCGGUGUUGACAUAAAUUUUACAUUAGUGAGUGCAUAGACUGUGAGUGAUUGCAGAGGAAUUAUUUUAUAUGAGUAGUGAUAAAUUUAAAUAUGAAAUUGUUGUUAUUAUUUUUAAUGAAAUGUAGUCAUAUUUUACCAAAUAAUACUCAAUGAAAUAAUCGUUCGACCGAAUCAAUAUAUAACUCUUCUAACUGUUAUUAACUUUCUAAUCGGACCUAAACUAAAAACAUACAUACACGUAG